AACGUAGGUGGCGAGCGUUAUCCGGAUUUAUUGGGCGUAAAGAGCUCGUAGGCGGUUUGUUGCGUCGGCUGUGAAAUCCCGAGGCUCAACCUCGGGUCUGCAGUCGAUACGAGCAAACUAGAGUGUUGCAGGGGAGACUGGAAUUCCUGGUGUAGCGGUGAAAUGCGCAGAUAUCAGGAGGAACACCGGUGGCGAAGGCGGGUCUCUGGGCAACAACUGACGCUGAGGAGCGAAAGCGUGGGGAGCGAACAGG
rnacentral:rRNA from 1 species